UUCCUUGGGUCAGUGUCCUUGGCACAGCCAUCUUCAACUGCUUUACCAAUAAUCUUUCUUUCAUCAGAAAGUCAGUAUUCAUUAAUGAUUGUGUUCUUCAUUUCCAUUUAGCUCUUCAAAUACUGAAGGAGUCUAUACCCCCAUGAGUGUUCAGACAUCCAAUUGCUUAGGUGCAUUUAUUCUUUCCAUAUCUCCUCUCUUAACUCCGCCAUGGAUGGUCUCAAGCCCGGCUGCAAAAGGAGGAGGGUUGGGCACGAGGCUAGCAAUCCCAUCCCGUAAAAACCCAGUGCUACAGAAAUGGCGACAGAAACUCCAAAGACUGAGAGAGGAAGGAUCUUUGAAGGUGGGCUACACUUGGGGCAAACUCGAAAGCCUGGCUGAGGACAGAGGACUCUGGUGAGCUGCUUUCAGUGUCCUAUGCCCCAGUAGGGGAAAUGGGCUUAAAUGUUGUCUGACCUGCUGAGCUCCUCUUGCUUUUUGUCUGUUGUUCCAGAUUCCAGCAUCAGCAUUUCUUAUGUCUCCGCUUGGCCUUUUUUAUUGUAUGUUUCUAUGAGGAUUUCCUUGCCAAUAAAAAAAAACUGUCUUGGUGACCAGACCCUAG